rnacentral:rRNA from 1 species
UACGGAGGGGGCAAGCGUUGUUCGGAGUUACUGGGCGUAAAGCGCGCGUAGGCGGUGCGGUAAGUCAGGGGUUAAAGGCUGCAGCUCAACUGCAGUAAGGCCUUUGAUACUAUCGUGCUAGAGUGUCAGAGAGGAUGGCGGAAUUCCCGGUGUAGCGGUGAAAUGCGUAGAUAUCGGGAAGAACGCCGGUGGUGAAGACGGUCUCCUGGGCUACUCCUGACGCUGAGGCGCGAAAGCUAGGGGAGCGAACGGG